rnacentral:rRNA from 1 species
CCUACGGGAGGCAGCAGUGAGGAAUAUUGGUCAAUGGGCGGAAGCCUGAACCAGCCAAGUCGCGUGAGGGAGUACUGCCCUAUGGGUUGUAAACCUCUUUUGUCGGGGAGCAAAAGCCGGACGUGUCCGGCUGUGAGAGUACCCGAAGAAAAAGCAUCGGCUAACUCCGUGCCAGCAGCCGCGGUAAUACGGAGGAUGCGAGCGUUAUCCGGAUUUAUUGGGUUUAAAGGGUGCGCAGGCGGAUUUUUAAGUCAGCGGUAAAAUCGUGGGGCUCAACCCCAUCCAGCCGUUGAAACUGGGGAUCUAGAGUGUGCGAGAGGUAUGCGGAAUGCGUGGUGUAGCGGUGAAAUGCAUAGAUAUCACGCAGAACCCCGAUUGCGAAGGCAGCAUACCGGUGCACAACUGACGCUCAGGCACGAAAGCGUGGGUAUCGAACAGGAUUAGAUACCCGGGUAGUC